rnacentral:rRNA from 1 species
GAUGAACGCUGGCGGCGUGCUUAACACAUGCAAGUCGAACGAUCAAGCCCAGCUUGCUGGGUGGUUUAGUGGCGAACGGGUGAGUAACACGUGAGUAACUUGCCCUUAACUCUGGGAUAAGUCUGGGAAACUGGGUCUAAUACCGGAUAGGAGCUCCUACCGCAUGGUGGGUGUUGGAAAGAUUUAUCGGUUUUGGAUGGACUCGCGGCCUAUCGGCUUGUUGGUGAGGUAUUGGCUCACCAAGGCGAAGCCGGGUAGCCGGCCUGAGGGGGUGAACGGCCACAAGGGGACUGAGAGACGGCCCAGACGCGUACGGGAGGCAGCAGUGGGGAAUAUUGCACAAUGGGCGAAAGCCUGAUGCAGCGACGCCGCGUGAGGGAUGACGGCCUUCGGGUUGUAAACAUCUGUCAGUAGGGAAGAAGCGAAAGUGACGGUACCUGCAGAAGAAGCACCGGCUAACUACGUG